rnacentral:rRNA from 1 species
UACGUAGGGUGCAAGCGUUAAUCGGAAUUACUGGGCGUAAAGCGUGCGCAGGCGGUUUUGUAAGCCAGAUGUGAAAUCCCCGGGCUCAACCUGGGAAUGGCAUUUGGGACUGCAAGGCUGGAGUGCGGCAGAGGAGACUGGAAUUCCUGGUGUAGCAGUGAAAUGCGUAGAUAUCAGGAGGAAUACCGAUGGCGAAGGCAGGUCUCUGGGCUGACACUGACGCUCAUGCACGAAAGCGUGGGGAGCAAACAGGAUUAGAA